GCCAAAGAAAGGCAAAAAUGUGGUACUCAUGAGACGCUGCAUAGGGAUGGGAGAAUCUGUAGCCAGGAACAUAAUGGAUUACAAUGCCACAAAAGGAGGGGUGGACAAUUUAGACAAGCUGGUGACUGGCUACAGCUGCAAAAGAAGAACCCUACGCUGGCCACUUGUGAUAUUCUUCAACAUCUUGGUGUACAACGCGUUUGUCAUCUGGAUGGCGUUGAACCCAGAUUGGAACAGAGGGAAGCUCCAGAGGAGACGGAUCUUUCUCGAGGAGCUGGGCAAGGCAUUGGUACCUGGGCUGAAGUCCCCCCAAAGGACCAGUAUGGGGCGGCAGGUAGCCUAGUGGUUAGAGCUUUGGACUAGUAACCGGAAGGUUGCAAGAUUGAAUCCCCGAGCUGACAAGGUGUGUGGGUGCUGUCUGUCUGCGAUGGAGGUCAGUGCACACUGUCACAGCAGUCUCUGUCCACACCAGAGUCAACAUCACCAUCUCCAGUGGCAGUGGCAGAACCCAGCUAGUACAGUGGAUUGGGGCCGAUUCCGGCUGAGAGUUGGGGAACUCGGCUGAGAGUCAGACUCGGCCGACGUCGGCAGUAUUACUUAUGGCUAGGAUGCGGGGAUUGAGCUCGGGCCGAUUCCGGUGUGAGUUAUGUGGCCCAAAU
rnacentral:lncRNA from 1 species